UUAACUUGUUUUUUUUUACUCAGAGAUACACUAAGAUGCAGAAAUAGUUGUUGGUUUGUGCCGUCGGCGGGCGGGCCCUCCCGCCGAAGCAACGCUAAUGGAUGAGUUCGCGAUGGUUUAUAAGCGGCCGUUUCGGGGCGCUUCUUGUUAAUGAUCCCUCCGCUGGUUCACCAACGGAGA
rnacentral:misc_RNA from 1 species